rnacentral:lncRNA from 1 species
UGCUGUUGGCUGCUUUCCAGAGUUUUCACUUAUUUCUAGGUGUCACAGAUUUAAAAGCACAUCAAGGUUUGAAGAGUGUGGAAAGGAGACUGGCUGAGUUGCGGGAGGCCUAAGGGGGCCUGCCAGAGACCCUGUUAGAGCGGUAAAGACCUCUGCCUGGGAACGAGGACAAGUAUAAGAGGACUGAGACUGAGCGAAGCAAUCAAUCGUUUGUAGCCACUCAGUGGUGGAGGCUUGAACUCACAGAGCAUCAUCCCACGUUCC